AGCCUUCUGUAUCUGUGCUGAGAUUUCAUCACACACCAGACCACAAAGGCUGAUGAGACUUCCAAGAUAAGUGGAGCG
rnacentral:pre_miRNA from 1 species